UAGGCACGCAGGAGGCGUGAGAAAACGACGGCGCGUGUUUACGUCUAGCUGUGCAUGUCGUAAGCGAUCGUCAGUGAAUAUAAUAGGUAGACCACAGAACACCUGCCAGUGGGCAGACCAUACAGAGUGCGGUGACUGGCUAUCACGUCUGCACGUAAAGCCCAUCCGUUUUGUUAUAUCGUAAUCUCGCGCGCAGUCGCAGUGAACAGUCAAGCAUUAUAUUCUUUUCGUUGAAGAAACUGAAGGACGCUAAAUAAAGGCCUGCAUGUGCAGCUGUUGUCACUUUGAAGCCAGCAUGAAUCCUUUCUUGAAGUUGUUGGUUGAAUAUGUAUGCUUAAGCGUUCUCCUCAACCUGGCACAAGCUUUCGAUGAGGAAUUUGAGAAGCAUUGGCAAAGCAUUCACGAUUGGACGCCCUUGGCUCCCGGAACAAUCAUCGCCAUAUUUAUCGCCUUGCUGGUUGCAGCAAUUUGUGUAAACCUGCUCUGUUUUUGCUUGCGACGACUGCGCAAUAUUUAUAAUGCCAGCCCUUGCGUUCCACCUCCACUGAUGCCAGCCGCACCUGUGGUGACAUCGGCGGCAAGGACACUCGCCCCACUUGAAUCGUAUCCUCUGGUAUCGGGAGCAACUCUGUCUCCGGCCGCACCAAGUCCACAGCCGAAUCGCCACCCGCAGCCAACUGCACCAUACUUACAGGGGGGCCCCCACACGGGCAACGGUGUUGCACCACUGAUACAGCUGUCGGAUGCCGUGUUGCCGUCACCAUCCGCACCAUGCGAACCACCGCCGUACGAGCGACCGCCACCAUAUGCGAACCAAUCUGAAGGAUCUUAUUUCACGAAAUCAUAGUUGAGUACAGCCUCGGUUGGUGACUGCACGUCUUUGAUCGGUGUGGCAGGUGGGCGGCUGUGGGGUCUUGGUGUCGAGCAUGAGGUCGCGGGUUCGAGUCCAUUGAAGUCGGUGUGUGUGAACACCUCUGCCAUUAUAGGGGCCCUGCAGUACUUCUUCAAUGGGCUUACAGAAUGCCAUAAUGCUGCUGAUUGUUAGUCAGGGCUACUGCACACAUGUGAGCCAGGCAUUAUAGUGCAGCAUGUGGAAUGCAAGUUAAUAUUGAAUUUCAAUAUCAGCUAGAUGUCACUCACUUUCCUCUUGACAAAUGCUUCCAUAUACCCAGAAUUAACUGCUGUGUAGAGUGUUUCAUGGUGCCUGCACCGCACUAUACAAAAUGUGCUCGUCAUCUCCCUGAAAGAAAACAAGAAAGUGCUCAAGAUUAUGACUUUCAGGGCUGCGCAGACGUAUCACCUUGCCUCCGUACCAUCUCGCUUCUUGUGUAAGGAGUGCAAUAGCACGAAGAAAAGGAUUCAGACAAAUGAAAAUGAGCACUUGGUACUCUCCUCGUUUGUAUUUGUGUCCUUGUCUUUAGUUUGUGCUACGGCACUCGUCAUGACAUACCAACUAGGCCAAGCCGCUACCCUUUUUGUGUAGCUUUCAGAGCACUCGCUGGCACAUAAGGAGAGAGAAAGUGCACAAAGCGUGCCACAAACUUCUGUAAUUCCCCUUGUGCUUGACAAAUUCUGAAAAUAUUUGUGGCAGUUGAAUUGCAAAGCAAGAAACUUUAAUACUUGUAAAUGUGUUGUAGGGUCCCGUUAAGUUAAGUUCGCACGGUUGAGACCAGUCUAGAGUUGGAUCAAUUCAUUGCGGGAUCGUGGUGAAAGUCUGGUCCAUUCAGACAACUAGUACUGCCCAAAUCUGUGUUUUUCACAUCUUGUGCAUUGAAAGUAGUUUUCUUAGAACUAUUUGGAUAGCCAUCUUUGGGAAUGGUGAUAUUAGUUCAUAAGAGCACUUAACGUUACGGUGCACAAAGGCUGUGAAAAAAUAUAUAUAUAUUCACCUAUUUAUUUUUUGUCAUCCUCAUUUUAGCACUCUUUGUAGCUGGCUUAGCAACUACUUUACUGCUUAAAAAGUGCUCUUGUGUUGUGUGAGAAUAAGAUUAUCAGCAUAGAAAAAUUCUACUGUGAGCCAGUAGCAAAUAAGGCACAAGUGUGCCUAAAAUAGUCUUGCAAUAGAUAUUGUUUAUGGCUAAUAAUACAAUAAAACUAUAUAUAAUACAAGUGUUAGAAACAUACCUUUAUAAUAAAAUUUGGGAUAUAUCAUACUUAUUUUAGUAUAAGGUGCAACUUUGUGGUUACAAGGUGUGAGUGUAUGCCACAUUAUCGUUGUCCUUAUCCACUUGGAAGAAUUGUUCUCACUUUGGCUGUGACUGAGUCACGAGCACCAUUUUGCCUAUCCUCUUCUUUUUUGUUCUGGAGCCACUGCCCAGAAUCUUGUGUCAACAGUUGCAAAUGGUUGCUGGAUGUAACGUUUAGUGGCCUUGGGUUCAGUUGAAAAUGAACAAGUGAUCAGCAAUGCUAAACAAAUGUAUCUUCCCUUCCCCUUUUUGACAUGCUGUGCUGAUUCAUUGCUCUUAUAUUUACUGCCUAGUUGAUGCUGAUAUUUUUAAUACUGAGUUUCACUUUAUUAAACAAAAGCGUUAAAGCUAUGUAUAACUGACGAAGGCAUACAAUGCAAUGCAAUUAUACACGGAUUGACAGUGAGACAAGGGGUUGUGUAUGAUACACCGUAAAAUACCCUGCAAGUGCACCUACCAGAGCAGGUGACCCCCUCCUUUCCUUGGGAGCUUUCAAAUAUAUGGCCUCUUCUUCCCUUCCACCAUUUUCUCUGUUUCAUUCAUGUUUUGAUUUGCCCAAUGAGAGCAAAUGAAAACAGUGAAUGCAUUCGUAUUCAAUAAAGCAUUUUAAUUUCCAGCAAAGCCACGUUCAUUGUGAACAGUAUAGUAGUGAACAGCUUUGGGAAUGGCAAUCUUCAAGCGUAUCGUGGCAAAGUUGUUGCACCUUGCUCACUACAACCAACGAAGCAUUCUUAACGACUCUUCCGCCACCAUCGCGUAUUCAUCCCCCGUACGGUGAAUUCUUUCACCAUAGGCAAGGCACUUGCUCUGGAUUUUACGGUAGUGAUACGUGAGGUAGAAGAGAUUCUACUGUAUCGAUAACUCAAUGAACCGAACUCUGAUAACCCUAAUCAGCCCUGACUGAUAUAUGCUGAAUUAUUAGAUUUCCGUUCUUAAGUUUGGGGACAAAUAACAUCAACACAAUUAAACCCACCUUUCAAAGAUUCUCAUGAACAUGUGCAAAGAUGAUUCCGAAUCUCUAACCUUGUGCUCUUAGUAUGCAACACCAAUUGUUCCUUCGCUGUUGUGGUUGGCAAAAUAUAGAGAUGCACUAGUGACAGCCUCAUUUAAGCUCGUCUGUGCUCUCCGAUUUGCCUCUUAUAGACAUGACAGGGUUACAGUAAAAACUGCAGGCAUUCUACUAGCAGGGGUGCCACAAUCUCAAUCAAUUGCAGUAUUCGGCAUCGCUAUUCAUAUGCAUUCUUUAGCUGAGCCUGCAGAGUAGAUUCUCAUCACAGUUUCAUGUCACCACAUAAUGAGAGAAGACAACCUUGCUGGAGAACUGCUGAGAAAUUAACCUAGGGGUGAAACAUGAACGAUGAGUGUUCAUUUGAACACAUUUUUUUGGUGUGUGAUCUGCACUUUGUGUUUUGUCCUCUCGUCUUAUUACGCAGCAAUUUUGCACAGCGCGCACUGCAUUGACCAAAGGAAACAGAGAAGCUUCUUGGUUUAUUCUAAUGAGCUGUGCAGGCGGUUCAACAAAUUAUGGCCCCAACAAGUUAUGGCUCAUGAAGGUAGAGUAGAGUAGAAGACAUGCAAUGGUAUGUGUUGUGCAUUGAAAAGGCUCUGGUUGGGCAGUCUCGUGGGGUUGACGAGGGACAAGUAGCCGAGUCUCGAUGUGGGCUUAUACAUGGCCUUCAUUUUUAUCAGUCUACCCAGUCUGCAGGUUCCUAACACCUCUGCGCAGUGCCUUCGUGCUGCUGGGAAGCUGCAUCAGGUCUGCCCUAGAAAUAAUUUUUAUCUGUCGGCUUUUCAUUUUUGCCUUCCAUACUUCUUGCAAAGAACGGUAUAUUGAUAGGCACCGAUAGCAUUAAAUGUGGGGUGAAGAUGAGUUUUGUUCUGUGAAUAUAGUUGAAGGUUUAAUCAUGGGCAACGAAUAUGACAGAGGUGGCACAUCACAACAUUGAAAAUUGUGAAAAUAAUCAAGAGCUGUGGCAUCAUAAUUUUUAUGGAGAAGAUAAAGUGCUUACGGCAAUUCAUUGCCUACUAUUGGGCUCUUUUUAUUGCACAAUAGAUUCUGAUUUUGAAGUGACCAAAGCGGUGUAGACUGAUGUUUUAUUUUUCGUCAUUUGAAGGCACUCUGUCUUGUGUAUGCUAUGCCAUAGUACCCCUAUAAGUAAUUCUGUACAGUAUAUCCAGAGUACUGACGACAACGCAUGUAUUAUACAAAUGUGUAAUAUACAGUGCAUCUGGCAGAGUUCUUUCCAUUUGUUUCUAAUUGUCCCCCACAAAGCUUCAGUAACAUUGAGUUUAUUUCAUUGACUACAUUCCAAUUCCAUGCUCCGUAAUUUUAUUUUACUAUUGAUCACUUGCUCGAGAACGAGUUGGAAAGCAACAAAUGUUUCGGUGUUUUUAUUUAGAUUGUUCAAAGCAUUGGAUAAUACAAACAAAAGGUGCCCAGUGUAAGAGGACGCAUUUAAUCAUUCAUUAAGUGGCAUGAGAGGGCAAGCAGCGAAAGAGAGUAGUGAUCAAGGAAGCAUAGCGCAGCGUUAACACACAUCUUCCCGGCAUGGCUAUUUAGAUUAGCAUGCCAUCCUCUAUUAACCGAUGAUAUUGCCUGUGCCAGCUACGUUAUCACAGUGUUAUUUUCACUAUGAGCAGCUCGGUGAGAGAAAGUGCUUUAUUUCCUUCUGCUGCUAAACGCCCUGCCAGGGCUCAUAAUUGCCAGUGCCAAAAUCUACGCAUGCUCUCCAAUUGAGCAGCUACCAAGUGCCUCCGCCAAGAGGACCGCGCUGGUCAUGCUGCCAAAUCGGAAGUUCAUUGCUGCUACGUAGGCAUAUGUGGUUGUCUGUCUCGAAUAGUACGUCUUAGAUAUCACAAAAUCAAAACACUUAAAUGGCCACACUCAAAUUUCGCAUGAAUAAAUAUCGGAAUUAUUGGUGUCAUUGUUUAAGCUUGCACUUGUAGACAACAGCUUAUUUUAAUGCUGCAUAAAAAUUUUAUUAAAAGGUGUUGGACUAAUUUGUUCAUGGUGUGCAAAACGUAAUGGUGCAAUGCAGAAAAAAAAAAGACAAGAGGCUCAGGAAAGUGCGUUCUGUAGUUUUUAUUUUAUUUGUUUUACAUUUCAUAAUUAUCUUUUGCACUGUGUAAAAAGAGUUGGAAGAAAACGUGAGUUCAUUGUGAGUAGCAGUUUGGUUUCUGAAAAGCUAGUAACUUGCCAGCGCAUCAUUGGUGACGAGCCCGCCUUUCCAUUUUUCCUGGCAAAGCGAGCUCUUCGGAAUCUAAGUCACUGGAACACAGUGCCUUGUCGGUGAAUAUUCAUGAAUUUCAUAAAUUGGGUAGUAUCUAAGGGAGACUUAAGUCCACACUCACAAGUCCUAAGCUUUUAGAUAAGUUUUAUAAGAAUCUCAUGAGAUAUGAUGAGUACUUCCAGUAUAGUAAGUUAUUAUUGCUCUAGCUUCCUUGUUGAAGUGCUUGUAUGCAUGAUAUAUGCGAGUUUUGAAUGAAUAUGCACAAUUUAACUCGCGUUGCCAACUAUAAAAUUGAACUGCCUCUUUGGCUCCUUUAGAAACUGCAAUAUUAUGCUCUCAUGCUCUUAGUUUCUGCAGGUAUAAGCUGCACUGCAUUUGCCUGUUUGUUGGGACAGGAUGUUUAACUGCUGCAUUUGAGUGAGCAACAUUUGCUGCCCUCUUUAUGCUCGAGCAUCACGAUAAGCUUGUGCACAUGAGUGUCCUUACUUGUGCGUUCUUUUGUACUGUGAUACACAAGGCUAUUUCGCCUGAUGAAAUGUGCCUGUCUGUAUUUAUUUGAUAUUUAUAUUAUGCCCUAUUUUACGUCUCACAUUGUAAAUGUUCAUGUUGUCCUGUGUACCAUAUCAUUCCGACUUUGCCUGAAUUAAUAAAGAUGUUGGUCACUGUUA